rnacentral:rRNA from 1 species
CCUGCCCUUCAGUGGGGAACAACGGUUGGAAACGACCGCUAAUACCGCAUAACAUAGCGGGGUCGCAUGACUCUGUUAUCAAAGGAGCAAUUCGCUGAAGGAUGGACUCGCGUCCGAUUAGCUAGUUGGUGAGAUAAAGGCCCACCAAGGCGACGAUCGGUAGCCGAACUGAGAGGUUGAUCGGCCGCAUUGGGACUGAGACACGGCCCAGACUCCUACGGGAGGCAGCAGUGGGGGAUAUUGCACAAUGGGGGAAACCCUGAUGCAGCAAUGCCGCGUGAGGGAAGAAGGUCUUCGGAUUGUAAACCUAAGUUGUCAGGGACGAAACAAAUGACGGUACCUGAAAAGAAAGCUCCGGCUAACUACGUGCCAGCAGCCGCGGUAAUACGUAGGGAGCGAGCGUUGUCCGGAUUUACUGGGUGUAAAGGGUGCGUAGGCGGGUUUGCAAGUCAGGCGUGAAAUACCGAGGCUCAACUUCGGAGCUGCGCUUGAAACUGUAGAUCUUGAGUGAAGUAGAGGCAAGCGGAAUUCCUAGUGUAGCGGUGAAAUGCGUAGAUAUUAGGAGGAACACCAGUGGCGAAGGCGGCUUGCUGGGCUUUAACUGACGCUGAGGCACGAAAGCAUGGGGAGCAA